AGCCCGCUCAGAAACUUAAAGGAAUUGACGGGGCCCGCACAAGCGGAGGAGCAUGUGGUUAAUUCGAUGAUACGCGAGGAACCUUACCUGGGCUCGAACGUAAGAUGACUGUAGGUGAAAGCUUACAUCUCUUCGGAGCAUUUUACGAGGUGCUGCAUGGUUGUCGUCAGCUCGUGCCGUGAGGUGUCGGGUUAAGUCCCAUAACGAGCGCAACCCCUACCUUAGUUGCCAUCAGGUUAAGCUGGGGACUCUAAAGGAACUGCCUACGCAAGUAGUGAGGAAGCGGGGAUGACGUCAAAUCAGCACGGCCCUUACGUCCAGGGCUACACACGUGCUACAAUGGCCGAUACAGAGGGCAGCUACCUGGUGACAGGAUGCAAAUCUCCAAAGUCGGUCUCAGUUCGGAUCGGAGUCUGCAACCCGACUCCGUGAAGUUGGAUUCGCUAGUAAUCGCGCAUCAGCCAUGGCGCGGUGAAUACGUUCCCGGGCCUU
rnacentral:rRNA from 1 species